UCAUUGCAUUGGUGCAUAAAGUAAAGUGUUUUCUACUUGAACUUUAUUAUAGUGUAAUUAUCACAAAAUUUGUUGAAAAUUUGGUUGCACUAGGCACUGAACCAUCUUUCCAUGUUAACAAAUCGGUGAUAACACACACCUUUGCCAUGUUCACUUGAGACCUCUAUGUCUUGCUUUGCACCGUUAUUGGCCAUGUGCACUUUCCAUUCAUCGAUGUUCUUGAGAAUACUCCUAAUUCUCAUGAGAGACGGCACCACCCUGUUGACCCUGAUUUUGGCCAACUGACACGGAGUCAAAUUUGCUUGAUGUGGACAAACAUGUUGGAAAGAAUGUGAUGACGAAAUAAUAAAGAAGACAAGAGACUAUAGUGGUUCGGCCCCAGAAUCUGGUAAUAACCUACGUCCACUUGAAUUAUUAUUGAUAUAGGAUUCAAAGGAGUGAUCAAAGAACUAGGGUUCCAUGAGUUUCAACAACCUCUGAAGAAUAAUACAAUAUCUCAAAUAGGAUAACUCUAAUCUCUAGUGAUCCGAAAGCCAGAAAAAAGAAGAAGAUCCUUUUCCCUUGAGCCCUCCUUCUCUAUUUAUAGGCUCAAGGAGGAUUUACAUUAAUUUGUUACAGAUAUUAUUUCCUAAAUAGUCGGAUACUCAGGAAAUCAUGGGAGAUAAUUCCUGAUACUAUCAUAACUACAUAAGAUCUUUUCCGCGUGUAUCAUUCGUACGACCAGGCUGGUCGUAUGAAGAGAUUGAACGUCAUGACUCUAGAUGUCUUCCUGGUCGAUAGUCGAGCACGAAUUCUGCCAGAUGUUAGCCACGUGUACUAAAUGUUUGCCAUGUCAUCCAUGCUUGUUUUUGGAUAACAUUUGACCCCCAAGUUUGUUUAGUGCGACCAGCAAUAAAGAAACUUUAAGGAAGCAACCGUUCAUAUCCCCACGAUGUCUGUCAGAAUCCCCGUGCAUUUUUUAAAACCGUGACAUAAUUAUGUCUAAUCAAGGCCUUUCAGUUUUCAAGAAGCUAAUUGACGGCUUAUACACUUCCCCACAUUUCGAGAAUUAAAAAAUAAUGAUUGCUACUUUUUGGCCAUACCUCGGUCCCCAUAAAUACCUCCUUUUUCUUCUCAAAAAAGUUUUUCUUACCGUCUUUGUCAAGAACUUCAAGAACUUUGCCUUCAGAGCUUCGAAACCAGACAGUCGUCUAACUGAGGAUCUUUCCGACUCGAACUUUUUCUCUCUCCUCCGAACAUCCAUCUUCGCCCAGGUAAUCACUCUGUCUUUCUAAAUUUUUCAUUAUGCCAUGCACGCCGUUUCCAUGCUCUGUGAUUCCUGCGUUCUUGAGUAGGGUUUUAUGAGGAUCUUUUUGUAUAAACCUUCCAUUGCUUGGUAAGAGGGCGUCUUUAUUCGUUGUAUAGGUUAAGACUUAGUUUGAUAGUAAGGAUCAUAGGCUUAGGGCAUAAGAUCGACGUAAAAAUUCAACCUUUAAGCUAGGUGAAAAACUGGGUAUUUUCCUGCCCUUUAGGAGUCGAAACAGUUCUUUUUCAGAAAAUGGUUUUUUCCCUCUUUGAUUCGUUUUUCAAACCAUUGACGCCGAACUUAGCGUAGGAGUAGGAUGCUGCUGGUUAUUUACACAUGAGCAACAUUAUCCCAAUCUUCCACACUACUUCGCAAACUGUGUCUUAUCUCCUCCAUUGUCUGUUUACAGUUCUUAUGCAAUACCCUUGGGGGGGAGAAGGACCUAUUGAAGACGACCUCUUGGCCCAACUCCUUGAAGGCGAAGAAAACCCAUCUACUUUGAUACCAGAGAUCCCCUUUUCUCGCCCUAGCUCAAACCGUCCUCCAGUCCCCAACCAAAGAAUGGCCCGAACCAAAACAAAAGCUCGAAAAAGGAAUAACCCUAAAUCUUCAGGCCAGCCUUCUGCUGAUACCCCUCAACCAGUGGUCGAGGCGAAUUUGCCCUAGAGACCGAUGUACAAAGGCGUGCCUGCCCUCGCCAUGUCGACCAGCUAGACGUGGCGUGGCACGUCGUUCCUCAAAGUACGGUGACACUGCGGAUGAUUGCCAACUAUCUAAACAGAUACAAUCUGACGGGUGUGACCUUAGUCAAACCAUAUAUCGACCAGCGCGCCAACCUGCCAGGCGGGGCCUACAGCACCUGGUCGAGGUUCCAUAUUGAGGCAGGUGCCACCCUGCCUUUCCACUCGUUUUUUCAGGGGGUGGCUAAUUACUUCGGAGUAUCCCCCUUUCAAAUCACCCCGAAUGGAUAUAGAAUUGUUGACGGUGAGAACUCGUCAACUAAGUUGAGUUGGAAAAAAUUAUCAAGUAAGGAUCGUCAAUAAAAAAAAAAGCUAUAGAAAUCAAAGUAAUAACUCAAGAACAAUGACAGAAUAACAAUGGAGAAAUCAAUCAAUCUUUCAUUCACUCUCAAGCGUCUGCUACCGUCAAACUUCCAACCCCCCUUCAGGUGGGGUUAGAGUUCCUUUUAUAAUAGGCUCAAAUGGCCCUGGGUACAUGGUGGUCCUGGGGACCAAAGGGGUACAUAAGUACUCUGUCAAGAGAGUGGCUUCAGAUGUUGUGGUCGUACAUCCAGUACAGGGGCAGGUGUCAGGAGGAUGCCUCCACUACUUGUCCGUACCCAUGUCUGAUGAGUGGUGACAGGCAUAGUGGCGCAGGUGGUAGUGGUGUCGACUCUGACUCCUGGCCGUAGACGUAUGGACCAUCACUCUUAUCCCUGCAUUCCCACUCCUCCGUUGGUACAGGUGUCCGUAUUUGGACGUAGAAGGUCUUGAGGGUCGUACCCAGCAUGGGAACGUACAAGUAUGUUCCAUUCAACUCAUACCCAGGUCCCUAAGUGUUGGGGUCCAUAUGAUGGUGUGGCUCCUAUGCGGCUCGCGAGCCCCCUUCGCGAGGCCUCCUUUGCAUGGGCACCUGAUGGUGUGGCUCCCCAGGGUACACCCCCCGCACGGCAUGGAGUGUUCGGGGCGCGAGGCCGAAUGCAUGCCCCGACGUGAGGCCAUGGGGCCGUGCCUGCUUCGGACGCGACGCGAGGCCACAAGGCCAUGCCUUCUUGCUCCGGACGCGACGCGAGGCAACGGGGCCGUGCCUGCUCCGGAUGCGACGCGAGGCUGCGGGGCUGUGCCUGCUUCGGACGCGACGCGAGGCCACGGGGCGGUGCCUGCUUCGGACGCGACGCGAGGCCACGGGGUUCGUGCAUGCUUCGGACGCGUCGCGAGGCCGCGGGGCCGUGCCUGCGCGCAUGAGACGAGGGGCCUCGCCUGGUGCUGGUGCGUGCGAGGCCAUCUGGGUUGCCGCGCAAGUGGCAACAGUGGCUCAGGGUCAUUCCAACCCAGCCAUACUUUUGUGGCGUUUAUGGGGCCUAGCAUACAUGUUGAGUCUUUUAAGGGCGAGGAUUAUUAAGCGUUCACAAGAAUGCUGGCCGCACUCUAUAUCCUUUAUAAGCUCAAAAAAUGGCCAGUACCUUCCCCCCACGAGGUCAAUUUUCUUUUUGACCUUAAGUCCAAUCCCAACCAAGAUGGUACGGGGUUUUCUCACUUCUGCCAUCAGGAAUCCGGAUGCACUUUUUUGCCUGACACCACCCAUAUUUCUAAUGUGGGGAAGUAUCACCACGAAUAGUUCCUCACUCCUGACCUUGCUGCGGACAACUUGGCUUUUACGCGAGGAGGCCCAUGGCUACGUCCAACCCCUACUCCAGGGAUGGAGUCAAGGGUAACACUCUUAGCCAGCAUGCCAAAUGCUGAUAAGAGUGUAAAAAACCUAGUCAACGAGGCCAAACUUAGACUGGUCGGCCUUUGGGGAUCUCAAUCUGCGACGAACGAACCCUCGGUGGCGAUGUUCAAGCCGGCAUGGAACAUGAAUAGGAACCAGAGCAGCAACCUCAGGCGCCUCCUCGGAGGCGGCCAACUGGGGUUACGAUCAGGGAACCUGCCGUCCCCCCCCCCCCCCCGAGCGAAGGAACCUUCAGUCCCCAAGGGCAAGGGAAAACAAAAGGCUGUCGAUCUUACCGAACUUUUUGACGAUUCGUCGGAUGUAAACGGUACAAUAAUCUCGCUUUUAAAUAAUUUGCCAAUUCCCUCUCAUCUAUUUGAUGGGGACAACAACCUUAGGAAUGCUCCCUCUUUAAACUCAGAUUUCUUCCGGGAAUUAGGCAGUUCAGUAAAUAUUGCUACGACCAGUAGUUGUAGCUCGAGUACUUUUCUUGUAAUCCUUUUACUUUUAUCUCUGUUCCCCCUAUGACCACUUAAUCUCACUGCUCGAGUUAUUUCCCUUUGUGCAGGUAUGGACUCUGGAGACGUCUUCACUCAUUACGAGGCUGCCGCUGCCUCUUCUGUCCUGAAGAAGGAUAGCAAGAGGGCUCGAGGGGAAAGUAGCAAGACCCCCUUGAAGAAGGCUCGAACAGAAGAUACUCCAACCGCCGUCCCUUCUAAGGAAAACAUGACACCUUCGCCCCCCACCGAACAGUCGACGCCCACACCUGUGAAUCCACAGCCCUCCUCUAGGGCCGCUGACAAGGAGACUUUUGACAACCUAUCCGAAGGCUCCCUGUCCAGCCUCGUGGUCGGGUCGGCUAGGGAGAGGAUAUACAAGCUCUCGAAGCACAGACGCAGUCAGGCCGCCAUCAAUGAAACUGCCUCAAUGGAGGUCGACCAAAUCAUCAACAGAGGGUUGAAUGAGAUAGUCACCGGCUGCUGUCUUUAACUGCUAGCUGGCGCCGUGCUGGGGCGUUGGUUUCCCGGGGACAGAACUUCGACUCCCGACUUGCUCAGGCUAAGCAAGCACUUGAGGUUGAGAACAACAAGCUGCUCGAAGAGAACAAGGAGCUGUCCAAGCUGAAUGAGCAACUGUGCGAGGACCAAGCCACUCUUACCCAGGAGCUUCAGGACAGCCAAGGGGCCUUGAAGAAAGCCAACGAGGAGUGGCAUAAAUGGAGGGAAUGUUCUGUACUUAUCACCCAAGAGUGUAAACAGCUCAAACUCGAUCUGACCGCUACCAGUGAUGUGGGGAAGAAGCUUGAAGAGCGGGUGCGGGAGCUUAAGGGGUGAGUGCAGGAGGUUGAGGUGGAAGGGGUCAUGAACUUGAAGAUGUAUAAGGAGGCCACCCUCCUCUGCUUUUAUGACUUCUGGAAGCACAACCGGGCGGCCAACUUCAACUAUCUUUCCAAGCGGUUGAAGAGAACAUUGAUGGCGCAGUGCGCCACUCGGUUGGAGGCAGAGGAGAAGGCUAAGGCUAAGGCUCCUGCUGCCAAUGCUGAAGCUGGUCCUCCUGCCGACCAGGGCACUCCCCCAAAUCCUCAAGACCCUCCUGCCCAGUAAAUUUUUUUCUUUUAUUUUGCUUUUAUGGCCCACGGGUCUGUUUGUAAAGACAAUUUAUUUUUAUUACUGCAAGGGCAGCUUUUUUACUUAUAA